rnacentral:rRNA from 1 species
UGAGGAAUAUUGGUCAAUGGACGAGAGUCUGAACCAGCCAUGCCGCGUGAAGGAUGAAGGCGUUCUGCGUUGUAAACUUCUUUUGCGGGGGAAGAAACCUUGAUAUUCUUAUCAAGCCGACGGUACCCCGAGAAUAAGCACCGGCUAACUCCGUGCCAGCAGCCGCGGUAAUACGGAGGGUGCAAGCGUUAUCCGGAUUCACUGGGUUUAAAGGGUGUGUAGGCGGGCUUUUAAGUCAGUGGUGAAAUCUCGGAGCUCAACUCGGAAACUGCCAUUGAUACUGUUAGGCUUGAAUGUUGUUGAGGUGGGCGGAAUGUGUCAUGUAGCGGUGAAAUGCUUAGAUAUGACACGGAACACCGAUUGCGAAGGCAGCCCACUAUGGUAUGAUUGACGCUGAGGCACGAAAGCGUGGGGAUCAAACA